rnacentral:tRNA from 1 species
GCACGAGUGGCGAAACGGUAGACGCGCAAGAUUGAGGGUCUUGUGAGAAGUAUUUCUCGUGGAGGUUCAAAUCCUCUCUCGUGCACCA